GUACUGACGAAGAGUCCCAAACUAGGACGAAACAGAUGUCCAGUAC
rnacentral:hammerhead_ribozyme from 1 species